rnacentral:rRNA from 1 species
CCUACGGGUGACUGCAGUGAGGAAUAUUGGUCAAUGGGCGGGAGCCUGAACCAGCCAAGCCGCGUGAGGGAAGCAGGUACAGCGUAUCGUAAACCUCUUUUGUCAGGGAACAAAGGCGGGGACUAGUCCCCGGAUGAGGGUACCUGAAGAAAAAGCAUCGUCUAACUCCGUGCCAGCAGCCGCGGUAAUACGGAGGAUGCGAGCGUUAUCCGGAUUUAUUGGGUUUAAGGGGUGCGCAGGCGGCCUUUUAAGUCAGCGGUAAAACCGCGGGGCUCAACCCCGGCGAGCCGUUGAAACUGGCGGGCUGGAGUUGGGGAGCAGGACGCGGAAUGCGCGGUGUAGCGGUGAAAUGCUUAGAUAUCACGCAGAACCCCGAUUGCGAAGGCAGCCUGCCAUGCCAUGACUGACGCUGAUGCACGAAAGCGUGGGGAUCAAACAGGAUUAGAUACCCGGGUAGUC